rnacentral:rRNA from 1 species
GACGAACGCUGGCGGCGUGCUUAACACAUGCAAGUCGAACGGAAAGGCCCCUUUGGGUGUACUCGAGUGGCUAACGGGUGAGUAACACGUUAGUAACCUGCCCUUGACUUCGGGAUAACUUCAGGAAACUGGGGCUAAUACCGUAUAGGAAUCCUUGCUGCAUGGUGGGGGUUGGAAAGCUUCGGCGGUUUUGGAUGGACUCGCGGCUUAUCAGCUUGUUGGUGGGGUAGUGGCUUACCAAGGCUUUGACGGGUAGCCGGCCUGAGAGGGCGACCGGCCACAUUGGGACUGAGAUACGGCACAGACUCCUACGGGAGGCAGAAGUGGGGAAUAUUGAACAAUGGGCGGAAGCCUGAUGAAGCAACGCCGCGUGCGGGAUGACGGCCUUCGGGUUGAAAACCGCUUUCAGCAGGGGCGAAGCUUGUGGUGACGGUACCUGCAGAAGAAGCAACGGCUAACUACGUG